GGAAUGUAGCUCAGUGGUAGAAUACCUACCUAGCAUGCAUGAGGCCCUGGGUUCAAUCCCUAGCACCA
rnacentral:tRNA from 1 species